UUUUGGGGGUGCAAUGCAUGCUUAUGCACCCCCGUAGAACCGGGCCUGACUCCUCACCUCCCAGAGGGUCCAGGCUAGCCCCAAGGUUCCGCACAGCCUUCACAUUAGGGCUUCCCUGGUCACAUAUUACUGCCUGCACCUUUGAAAUUGGUUAAUACAUUGUUGUCAAUACAAGGUUGGAGUUAAUGUUAAUUUGUUCAUUGUUAAUGCUGCUAUUUAAAAAAUAAAUAAUAAUAAAACUCUUCGCACUACAUACUGUCAGCCCUAUAUGAUGUAGGUGGCGAAUGGCAUCCUUAAUGACGGUAGCAAUAUCAUCUGCUGGCAUUGAAGAUGAGGAAAAUAAGUAACCCACCGUCUGUUGGAAGACAUGCUUUAGGACGAGCAUACACAUCCUCUCCACAGGGGUCAUGGUGGCGGCGAUGACUCCCAUUUGGGAGAUGAUUCCCUGUAGGAAGCCAGGCUGUCAGGAAAUAAAAGUUGUGCCCUAAUGAAGUUCCGGCAGCCCUCAGGACACCUCUGGAGCAUCUCCUCCAUAAUUUCAUGGGGACUACGAAAGAACAAGAGGUGGGGAGGCAAUUGGUGGCGGGUUGUCGCAAUCCACCAGUGUGGGGAUGGCAUCUCUG